GGUGGCUCAGUGGAAGAGUUCUUGCCUUGCAUGCAUGAGGCCCUGGGUUCAAUUCCUCAGCACCA
rnacentral:tRNA from 1 species